rnacentral:rRNA from 1 species
AGAGUUUGAUCCUGGCUCAGGACGAACGCUGGCGGCGUGCUUAACACAUGCAAGUGGAGCGACGAACCAGGGCUUGCCCUGGGGCAGAGCCGCGAACGGGUGAGUAACACGUGGGUUACCUGCCUCGAUGACUGGGACAACCCGAGGAAACUCGGGCUAAUACUGGAUGUGCCCGCAAGGGGAAAGGAAGCUUCGGCCUC